GAAUUCGAGAGAGAGUCGGGUGAUAACCGGCCGCCGAAGGGGUAAACUUCAAUUAGUUCCGAUUGAAGUGAAACUCUCAGGCAAAAGGAUCGG
rnacentral:ncRNA from 1 species